UAGGGAAUAUUGCAAAAUGGGCGAAAGCCCGAUGCAGCAACGCCGCGUGGGCGAUGAAGGCCUUCGGGUCGUAAAGCCCUUUUUGAGGGGAUGAGGAAGGACAGUACCCUCAGAAUAAGCCUCGGCUAACUACGUGCCAGCAGCCGCGGUAAAACGUAGGAGGCGAGCGUUAUCCGGAUUUACUGGGCGUAAAGCGCGUGCAGGCGGAUUGGAGAGUUGGAUGUGAAAGCUCCCGGCUUAACUGGGAGAGGUCGUUCAAUACUUCCAGUCUUGAGUGCAGUAGAGGGAAGUGGAAUUCCGGGUGUAGUGGUGAAAUGCGUAGAUAUCCGGAGGAACACCAGUGGCGAAAGCGGCUUCCUGGACUGUAACUGACGCUCAGACGCGAAAGCUAGGGUAGCAAAAG
rnacentral:rRNA from 1 species